GAAUGUGAGGGCGAUCUGGCUGUGACAUGUCACCCUACUGAUUUCCAGGGUUAAUUCGGCUUAUUUGGCUGGCUAGGUGGGUUUCCCCUUCCUCCUUCACUGCUCCACAUGUGUACCUCCCAAACCUGCAUGCUUGGUUGAAGAGUUUGGCCUUCCCUGAAUAGAGACAAACCCGUCAUUGGUUGAGGGUAUACCAGUAGCUGUGCUCCCCUGCUAGAACUUCCAAACAAACUCUCAAGGUCCAUUUGUAGGAGAACGUAGGGUAGUCAAGCUUCCAAGACUCCAGACACAUCCAAAUGAGGCAAUGCUAUUGUCAGUCUGCCUUUCUUU
ensembl:misc_RNA 7SK 7SK RNA